CUAUCGGCUUUUAGCCGAUGGAAGUUUGAGGCAAUAACAGGUCUGUGAUGCCCUUAGACGUUCUGGGCCGCACGCGUGCUACACUGACCGAGCCAGCGAGUCCUUUCCUUGGCCGGAAGGCCUG
rnacentral:rRNA from 1 species